AUGUUCGGUAUACGAGUAGGUUUCAGAUUGAAGUACAAAGGCAAUGAUUCCGGUUCCAGAAUGGGUAUGCCGAAGUGCUUGCAGACAUCUUAUUUGGAUGAUAUCUUCCCUUAUAGCAUGCUUUUUGGUAAGGAUGGUUUCUUGGCAUGGAAAAACUCAUACUCAGAGAUUGGCCUUGGCGUUGGUAGCAUCCGCGAGUUAGCUUCAUAUACAGUAAGUCUUUGCUAG